ACCAUAGCUCAGUUGGUAGAGCAACGGACUGAAAAUCCGUGUGUCACUGGUUCAAAUCCCGUUGGUACC
rnacentral:tRNA from 1 species